rnacentral:rRNA from 1 species
UACGGAGGAUGCGAGCGUUAUCCGGAUUUAUUGGGUUUAAAGGGUGCGCAGGCGGCACGGCAAGCCGGCGGUCAAAUCGCGGGGCUCAACCCCGCCCAGCCGUCGGAACUGCCGGGCUAGAGUGGGCGAGAAGUGCGCGGAAUGCGUGGUGUAGCGGUGAAAUGCAUAGAUAUCACGCAGAACUUCGAUUGCGAAGGCAGCGCACCGGCGCCCUACUGACGCUCAGGCACGAAAGCGUGGGUAUCGAACAGG